UACGUAGGGUGCGAGCGUUGUCCGGAAUUAUUGGGCGUAAAGGGCUCGUAGGCGGUUUGUCGCGUCGGGAGUGAAAACCAGGUGCUUAACACCUGGCUUGCUUUCGAUACGGGCAGACUAGAGGUAUUCAGGGGAGAACGGAAUUCCUGGUGUAGCGGCGAAAUGCGCAGAUAUCAGGAGGAACACCGGUGGCGAAGGCGGCAUCCUGGACCGGUAUUGACGCUGAGGCGCGAAAGCGUGGGGAGCGAACAGG
rnacentral:rRNA from 1 species